GCCCCAGUAGCUCAACGGAUAGAGCGCCUCCCUUCUAAGGAGAUGGUUGCGGGUUCGAUUCCUGCCUGGGGCGCCA
rnacentral:tRNA from 1 species